AUAAGUGGAAUAAGAAGUGGAAUUUUUAGAGAAAAACAAGAGAAAGAAACUUUCUUGAUAAAAAGUAGAGAAAUUCUUAAAAGAGAAAGUGGAAACUUUUAGAUAAAAACUAAGAAUUUAUCAGGAAACAAAACAGAGAGUUUUGCGAUAAAAAUUAAGAAAUUAUUUAAAAGACAAAAGGCAGAAAACUUCUGAAUAAAAAAGUGCA
rnacentral:sRNA from 1 species